AUUGAACGCUGGCGGCAGGCCUAACACAUGCAAGUCGAGCGGAUGAAGGGAGCUUGCUCCUGGAUUCAGCGGCGGACGGGUGAGUAAUGCCUAGGAAUCUGCCUGGUAGUGGGGAUAACGUCCGGAAACGGGCGCUAAUACCGCAUACGUCCUGAGGGAGAAAGGGGGGGAUCUUCGGAACUCACGCUAUCAGAUGGGCCUAGGUCGGAUUAGCUAGUUGGUGGGGUAAAGGCCUAACAAGGCGACGAUCCGUAACUGGUCUGAGAGGAUGAUCAGUCACACUGGAACUGAGACACGGUCCAGACUCCUACGGGAGGCAGCAGUGGGGAAUAUUGGACAAUGGGCGAAAGCCUGAUCCAGCCAUGCCGCGUGUGUGAAGAAGGUCUUCGGAUUGUAAAGCACUUUAAGUUGGGAGGAAGGGCAGUAAGUUAAUACCUUGCUGUUUUGACGUUACCAACAGAAUAAGCACCGGCUAACUUCGUG
rnacentral:rRNA from 1 species